ensembl:lncRNA
UUGUUUUGUAUAUUCGCAAAUCUCUUUAAUGUCUGGCUUAAUCAAGACAGCUGGAUUCUCAGAUCUGCUUCUGCAUUCAGUGUGGUACAAUAUCUUGUUCUGGUUAAAAUGUAUAAAGAAAAUCUGCCUUGCACAGAUAUGUAGUUGGAAAAGGAAGAAGUACUUUAACAGCCUUCUCAGAUAACCAUGCAUAUUCUCUGGUACUACACCAAAACUUGACAAGUGGUAAAGUGUGGCUGCAAAGCAAAAUCUGUAAACCCCAUCGAUGAACUUUUCUACUCUGUCACAUUAAAACCCACCGGUCUGUCUUGCACUUUGAAUGGAUCUUUUCCACAUGCAUGAUAUUAUGACAUUCAUUGUUCACUUGAAAACGAUUGCCUCACUGACUCAUGCAGAUCUUCCAAAUAUUGAUGGAUUUCCCUAGACAGCAUCCGCAAUUCAAAAUCAUUAGUACCACCACAGUUCUCAUCAGAGAUGUUUCAUGGGAAGAUGUCAAGCUCACCAUAGCAGAUAGUUUUCCAAACCUGAUUUCACUUAGCUUGAAUUUUAUCAUUGGCAACAAAUACUGCCAGUUGCUUUCCUUAAAGUGACAGGCUCACCUAGUCCAUUUUUUGGAAAACAUCCGCCACAGGCCCAAAUCUCAAUAACCAGGGUUUGUCAGUUGUUCUUUCAUGAAAAAAGCAAUGAGUAAUUCAGCUCACAAUUCAAACGAUCACACAUGUGCUUUUGCUUGACGUUGCCUUCAACCCUGUGCUUUCCGAUGCAGCCAAAGUGUUUUAUAUGCACUUCCCACUUUUUUUACACAGAUUAUUAUAAAGACACGUACUCAAGGGUCUAGACUUCAUAAAGUUAAUCAUUUUACUGCCUCAUUAAGGACGUUCUUAAGAAGUGAAACUGGCGUGUGUUUUAACGAGGGUGUGUGCUAGUGGAGAAGAUGAUGACUCCUUGUACACACCAGCGCUACUUUUUGGAUUUGUACUAAGAUGCCAGCAGUUUACCCACUACCAGUGCAAAUGUCAACAGGAUGAAAAAUACAAACAUGUCCCAGAGUUAUUAGGAAAAUAGUUUUGACCUCGAGGACCCCAUGAAAGAGUCUGGGGGACCCCCAACGGUCUGCAGACCACACUUGGAGACCUGCUAAGCUAGGGAUGUGAGGCAGUUUCCAUACCUCCAGAAACUCCCAAUCCGGCUGAGAAGAUAGACCACAAACAGACACAAUUACUACACGAUAUGAUGAGGGCCAGGCUGGAGGCACGGCAGAGAGAGCAACUUGCUUCGCACUGUGGAAACUGGCAAAGGUUUUGCAGUGUAGGGAACUUUUGAAAUGGGUCUUGAGAGCUGAGUAGGAGUUCAUCCAGAAAGAGAAGGUAGAUCUUCAUAUUCUCAGUUUCAGAAGGACAGGUCCUAGGAAGGCAAGGCUUUUGGAAACAAUAAAGGUGUGCAGUAAAGGAUACGAUAUGGCUCCCAGAAUCCCUGGGAGGGCCAGAGAUCCAGACUUGGAGAUGACAUGGAUAGGAGCCACACCCAAAAUCACACUACUGGACAUUCCAUGGAGACGCCACUGCCCCAAUGCUGGGACAGACAUGGCAUCAGGUGCCUCUGAUGCUGUCCAUGCAGGCUUGGAUACUCCUGUGGGACUCCACAAUGGCUGGCUUCCCCAGGACUUGUUUCUUCAUGUGCCUACCUGCUGCAUCAGAGUGCCAGAGUGACCCCUGAUGGCUGGAGUCCAGGCCACAUGUGGGGAAGCUGGUAGAUCAAGUCUCUGGGCUCUCAGGUAGAAGGGGUCUCUGCUUCUUGGCAAGACUCAUAAGCUGAGGGACUGCCCAAAUGCAGGAAGGGUGUUCAAAG